UGGGGAAUAUUGCACAAUGGGCGCAAGCCUGAUGCAGCCAUGCCGCGUGUGUGAAGAAGGCCUUCGGGCUGUAAAGCACUUUCAGCGGGGAGGAAGGCGAUAAGGUUAAUAACCUUGUCGAUUGACGUUACCCGCAGAAGAAGCACCGGCUAACUCCGUGCCAGCAGCCGCGGUAAUACGGAGGGUGCAAGCGUUAAUCGGAAUUACUGGGCGUAAAGCGCACGCAGGCGGUCUGUCAAGUCGGAUGUGAAAUCCCCGGGCUCAACCUGGGAACUGCAUUCGAAACUGGCAGGCUAGAGUCUUGUAGAGGGGGGUAGAAUUCCAGGUGUAGCGGUGAAAUGCGUAGAGAUCUGGAGGAAUACCGGUGGCGAAGGCGGCCCCCUGGACAAAGACUGACGCUCAGGUGCGAAAGCGUGGGGAGCAAACAGG
rnacentral:rRNA from 1 species